rnacentral:misc_RNA from 1 species
AAAUUUCUACUUUCACUUUCCCAAUAACGUGAAGCAAACGGCAAUAUGAGUAAUAUUUACAUUCAGGAACCCCCGACCACUGGGAAGGUCCUGCUCAUUACCUCAGCUGGAGAUCUGGAUAUUGAGUUGUGGUCAAAAGAAGCACCAAAGGCAUGUCGGAACUUCAUCCAGCUCUGUAUGGAGGGAUACUACAAUGGAACUGUAUUUCAUCGCGUUGUGAAGGACUUCAUCGUGCAGGGAGGCGACCCCACUGGGACUGGAAUGGGCGGAGAAUCAAUAUAUGGGAAACCAUUCAAAGUCUGUUGAUCUUAACCUUAUACCACUCUUACCUGAAAUGGUUACAAAAUAUGCUAACUUUCUCAUCAAUUCUUUUUUUUAACCUGUAUUAAAUAAUUAAUAAGAAGAAAUUAAAUUAAGAAGUUGUUGAUAAUAAUUUUUUUGUGAAUAGUACUAUUUAUACUUAAUUUUAUGUCUUAAACCUUGCAGAAGUUUAGGAAUAAUGUUGUAAUAAUAAUCCUUAUCAUGUUCUUUAAGGAUGAAACUCACACUCGAUUACGGUUUGUGAGGAGAGGCUUAGUGGCCAUGGCAAAUGCUGGUCCAAAUGAUAAUGGCAGUCAAUUCUUCAUCACAAUGGGACCAACUCCGGAGCUCCUGAACAAACACACAAUAUUUGGAAAGAUAACAGGAAACACAGUAUAUAACAUUGGGAAGUUACAAGAAGUAGAAGUAGACCAGCAUGACAGACCCUACCACCCCCAUAAAGUCAAAUCAGCCCAUAUUUUAUCAAAUCCGUUUGAAGAUAUUGUCCCAAGAGUAAAUGCAGAAGACAGAAAAUCAAAAGAUUCAAAAGAAGAAAAAGUGAAAAGCAAAUCCAAGGCCACUAAGAAUUACAAGCUGCUCUCUUUUGGGGAUGAGGCAGAAGAACAGGAAGAGGAAGUAGAUCUGGUAUCCAAGGACUCAAAAGGGAAAGGUAAAAGCAGUCAUGACCUCAUUGAUGACCCAACCCUCAGCACAGAGACAACCGAGAUAGAUUCAGAGGAAGUCAGACAGAGGCUAGCACAGCCCCCUAAGGAAAAGAAAGCAAAAACCCCACCCCCAGAUGAAGAGAGUGAAAACAAGAAAAAGAUUAGUAGAACUGAAGAAUUGCGCUUAGAGGCCAAGAGGUUGAAGAGGGACCUAAAGGGGUUGAAAUCUGAAAAGUCCCAAGAUCAGAAAGACGUACCUGAAGAAGAACCUGAAGAAAAGAAUGAGGUAAUAGCUGCAUACAAGGCAGAAAGACAGAAAUACAAAAAGGCGAAGAUUAAAAAAGGGAGUGGAAGGGAGGAGGCCACUUUAGCACUGCUGGCAAAGUUCCAAUCCAAACUUGAGACCGUCAAGAAGAUAUCAGGGGACUACAGUGAUGAAGAAGAGGCCCCAGAGGGGGAAACAGAGGCUGAAGCUGCAGGAGAUAUGUCAUGGAUGACUCACAAGCUGAUAUUUGAAGAUGAAGAAAGAAAACGAAAAGUGAUUGAUGCAAAUGUGCAAGAACUUGAUCGUUAUGAAAUAUACGACCCACGAAAUCCCCUCACUAAACGCAGACGUGAGAACAGCAAGCAGACGAUGAAAGAGAAGAAACAUAAGACAUGACAUGAUGUGUAAAAUGAUGGAAACAUUGUCUUUUAUCUGCUAAUGUCACUGUUUUAAUAUCCAUGAACUAAUAAACAUGCACAAACC